rnacentral:rRNA from 1 species
UACGAAGGGGGCUAGCGUUGCUCGGAAUUACUGGGCGUAAAGGGAGCGUAGGCGGGUUAUCAAGUUGGAGGUGAAAGCCCAGGGCUCAACCUUGGAAUUGCCUUCAAACUGAUAGCCUAGAGUAUGAUAGAGGUAAGUGGAACUCCGAGUGUAGAGGUGAAAUUCGUAGAUAUUCGGAAGAACACCAGUGGCGAAGGCGACUUACUGGAUCAUGACUGACGCUGAGGCUCGAAAGCGUGGGGAGCAAACAGG